GACGAACCGUGCGAACGUUGUUCGGAUUCACUGGGCUUAAAGGGCGCGUAGGCGGUUGACCAAGUCAGGGGUGAAAUCCCUCGGCUUAACCGGGGAACUGCGUCUGAUACUGGAUGGCUUGAGUUCGGGAGAGGGAUGCGGAAUUCCAGGUGUAGCGGUGAAAUGCGUAGAUAUCUGGAGGAACACCGGUGGCGAAGGCGGCAUCCUGGACCGACACUGACACUGAGGAGCGAAAGCCAGGGGAGCAAACGGG
rnacentral:rRNA from 1 species